rnacentral:tRNA from 1 species
GCGGGUAUAGUUCAACGGUAGAACAUCAGCCUUCCAAGCUGAUUGUGAGGGUUCGAUUCCCUUUACCCGCUCCA